rnacentral:lncRNA from 1 species
AGGGCCGGGUCUCAAUGCCCACGGCCAGAACCAAGCUGGGGACAGGAACUGCAUGGCAGAGACCCGGAUCGGAGCCUGCUGCCGUGCAGCCGGAGCUGUGUGUCAGCGCCCAGGGCUAGUGCCUGCUGCCACAUGGCCAGAGCCCAGAGCUGGGUGCCGGGGCCCAGGAGUGCAUGGCCAGAGCCAGGAGCCAGCACUGGCUGCUGCAUGGCCGGAGCCAGGAGCCAGCACUGGCUGCUGCAUGGCCGGAGGCAGGGGCGGCACCUGGGAGCCCAGGAACAGAACCUGCUCUGGUGAAGUUGGGGCAGGGGAUCAGUGCCAGGGCAGGGGAUCAGCACCAGGGCUAGGGCCACGUAGCUGGAGCUCGGGCCUAGCGCCUGCCACUGUGCUGCCCUGUGGCCAGAGCCAGGGUUUGGUGCCCAAAGCCCCGUGCUUGGAGCCGUUGCAAUGUGGCUGGGGCUGGGAUUGCUGCCUGUGGUGGGUCAGUACCCGCUGCCCCACAGUCGGAACCUCGGGCUGCACGGCCAGGUUCCUGAAGUCCUGCCACUGGAGCCUGCUGUCCAAGCCCCCUUCCCCCAACCAGGGUCAAGAACUCACCUUUCUCCGGCAGCGUUUUCCCCCACUUCUCUUCAGAGGCAGUGCAAGGCAGCGCAUCCAGGAGCAACAAGGAGAGAGGGGGAGGGGCCAAUGGUUUGCCCCCCUCCCAUCACCGCCCAGGAGGCUCUCGUGGCCGCAUGAAAAGCCCCUGGUGGCCGCAUUUGAGAAAUCUUGGUCUAGUCCAGUGAUUCUCAAACUUUUGUACUGGUGACCCCUUUCACAUAGCAAGCCACAAAAUAAGCUCCACUCACGUGGAUCAUCAAAAUGAGACAUUGCUCUCAGCAGAUUGUGCAGAUGUUCAGAGUGUUUGCUCACGCGGGUGUUCGUUAUUCUGUGAGCUCCACAAGUUUGGCUCCCCCUUGACUGAGCAUCAAGAUACUCAUGUACUCUGCUUGGGCUCAGCUCCUUCUGGACUAAGGAAAAGAAAAGUGGCAGUAUGUCCCAAAUGCCACACAUCU